GGAAAAAGACCCGCCAAGGGGAAUUAUUACCACCUCCCACCCCCCGGCCUAAACUCAAUAGCUAGAAUAAGGCCAUGGAUUCAUUUAUCAGUACUAGAAACUUCGCACAUCUUUACCAGUCUACCAACUACAAAUUCACAGGUUUCGAGAGGAGGGACAGGAGGAGCCGAAGGAGAAGGUACCCGAGAAAACGACACGUUAUCUGGCUCAAGGGGCCUCGGCACUGGGCGAAGACUGGCGCACGGGAGGCGUCGCGGAACAGGCCGGCCUUUCAACUUGGACUUUCAUCACCAGCUUUCUGGGUUCUCUAGCCUGCAGAUAGCUGAUCAAGGGACUUUGUGGCCUCCAUAACAGUGU